rnacentral:rRNA from 1 species
UUCCUCAUUUAUCCUAUCCAAACUCAAAGCUAUGUAGGAUUGGGCCAGAUUAUACUUGGAUGAGACAUCUGAGAAUUCAGGUGCUGUAGGUU